GAUGAACGCUGGCGGCGUGCCUAAUACAUGCAAGUCGAGCGAACCACUUCGGUGGUGAGCGGCGAACGGGUGAGUAACACGUAGGUGAUCUGCCCAUCAGACGGGGACAACGAUUGGAAACGAUCGCUAAUACCGGAUAGGACGAAAGUUUAAAGGUGCUUCUGGCACCGCUGAUGGAUGAGCCUGCGGCGCAUUAGCUAGUUGGUAGGGUAAAGGCCUACCAAGGCGACGAUGCGUAGCCGACCUGAGAGGGUGAACGGCCACACUGGGACUGAGACACGGCCCAGACUCCUACGGGAGGCAGCAGUAGGGAAUCUUCGGCAAUGGGCGAAAGCCUGACCGAGCAACGCCGCGUGAAUGAUGAAGGCCUUCGGGUUGUAAAAUUCUGUUAUAAGGGAAGAACGACUUUAGUAGGAAAUGGCUAGAGUGUGACGGUAUCUUAUGAGAAAGCCACGGUUAACUACGUGCCAGCCGCCGCGGUAACAC
rnacentral:rRNA from 1 species